UUCAGAUGGCCGACUGGUAAGAGUCCUAGACCAUCAAUCCAGAGGUGUGAGUUCGAAUCCCACUUGAUU
rnacentral:tRNA from 1 species